AGAGUUUGAUCAUGGCUCAGGACGAACGCUAGCGGCGUGCUUAACACAUGCAAGUCGAGCGGUAAGGCCCUUCGCGGUACACGAGCGGCGAACGGGUGAGUAACACGUGGGUGAUCUGCCUCGCACUCUGGGAUAAGCCUGGGAAACUGGGUCUAAUACCGGAUACGACCAGGGACUGCAUGGUCUUUGGUGGAAAGGUUUACUGGUGCGAGAUGGGCCCGCGGCCUAUCAGCUUGUUGGUGGGGUAAUGGCCUACCAAGGCGACGACGGGUAGCCGACCUGAGAGGGUGACCGGCCACACAGGGACUGAGACACGGCCCAGACUCCUACGGGAGGCAGCAGUGGGGAAUAUUGCACAAUGGGCGAAAGCCUGAUGCAGCGACGCCGCGUGAGGGAUGACGGCCUUCGGGUUGUAAACCUCUUUUGACAGGGAAGAAGCGCAAGUGACGGUACCUGUAAAAUAAGCACCGGCCAACUACGUGCCAGCAGCCGCGGUAAUACGUAGGGUGCGAGCGUUGUCCGGAAUUACUGGGCGUAAAGAGCUUGUAGGCGGUCUGUCACGUCUUCUGUGAAAACUUGGGGCUCAACCUUAAGCUUGCAGGGGAUACGGGCAGACUAGAGUACUUCAGGGGAGACUGGAAUUCCUGGUGUAGCGGUGAAAUGCGCAGAUAUCAGAGGAACACCGGUGGCGAAGCGGGUCUCUGGGAAGUAACUGACGCUGACAAGCGAAAGCGUGGUAGCGAACAGGAUUAGAUACCUGGUAGUCACGCCGUAAACGGUGGGUACUAGGUGUGGGUUCCUUCCACGGGAUCCGUGCCGUAGCUAACGCAUUAAGUACCCCGCGUGGGGAGUACGGCCGCAAGGCUAAAACUCAAAGGAAUUGACGGGGGCCCGCACAAGCGGCGGAGCAUGUGGAUUAAUUCGAUGCAACGCGAAGAACCUUACCUGGGUUUGACAUACACCGGAAAGCCAUAGAGAUAUGGCCCCCCUUGUGGUCGGUGUACAGGUGGUGCAUGGCUGUCGUCAGCUCGUGUCGUGAGAUGUUGGGUUAAGUCCCGCAACGAGCGCAACCCUUAUCUUAUGUUGCCAGCGCGUAAUGGCGGGGACUCGUGUGAGACUGCCGGGGUCAACUCGGAGGAAGGUGGGGACGACGUCAAGUCAUCAUGCCCCUUAUGUCCAGGGCUUCACACAUGCUACAAUGGCCGGUACAGAGGGCUGCGAUACCGCGAGGUGGAGCGAAUCCCUUAAAGCCGGUCUCAGUUCGGAUCGGGGUCUGCAACUCGACCCCGUGAAGUUGGAGUCGCUAGUAAUCGCAGAUCAGCAACGCUGCGGUGAAUACGUUCCCGGGCCUUGUACACACCGCCCGUCACGUCAUGAAAGUCGGUAACACCCGAAGCCGGUGGCCUAACCCUUGUGGAGGGAGCCGUCGAAGGUGGG
rnacentral:rRNA from 1 species